rnacentral:rRNA from 1 species
UACAGGGGGUGCAAACGUUGCUCGGAAUUGUUGGGCGUAAAGCGCGCGUAGGCGGCUACCUAAGUCGGAUGUGAAAGCCCCUGGCUUAACUGGGGAAGUGCACCCGAAACUGAGUAGCUAGAGUGCGAAAGAGGGUCGCGGAAUUCCCGGUGUAGAGGUGAAAUUCGUAGAUAUCGGGAGGAACACCGGUGGCGAAGGCGGGUCUCUGGGCAGUAACUGACGCUGAGGAGCGAAAGCGUGGGGAGCGAACAGG